rnacentral:rRNA from 1 species
GAUGAACGCUGGCGGCGUGCCUAAUACAUGCAAGUCGAGCGAACAGACGAGGAGCUUGCUCCUCUGACGUUAGCGGCGGACGGGUGAGUAACACGUGGAUAAUCUACCUAUAAGACUGGGAUAACUUCGGGAAACCGGAGCUAAUACCGGAUAAUAUAUUGAACCGCAUGGUUCAAUAGUGAAAGACGGUUUUGCUGUCACUUAUAGAUGGAUCCGCGCCGCAUUAGCUAGUUGGUAAGGUAACGGCUUACCAAGGCAACGAUGCGUAGCCGACCUAGGAGGGGGAUCGGCCACACUGGAACUGAGACACGGUCCAGACUCCUACGGGAGGCAGCAGUAGGGAAUCUUCCGCAAUGGGCGAAAGCCUGACGGAGCAACGCCGCGUGAGUGAUGAAGGUCUUCGGAUCGUAAAACUCUGUUAUUAGGGAAGAACAAAUGUGUAAGUAACUAUGCACGUCUUGACGGUACCUAAUCAGAAAGCCACGGCUAACUACGUG